rnacentral:lncRNA from 1 species
UCUUUUUCUUAAAAUGUAAAAAUCUUAUUCCAUAGUGCCCUAGUAAACGACUCAUAGUAUUUUUGGUACUUACAUAUAAGUUUGAUAAUUUUUCCUUUGGUAAAUUCAGAGAAAAAUUGAUUACCGCCGAAAGUGGCCACUUUUGGCGGUAAUCAAUUUCCCUCGGCGGUUUUGAAAGGAAAAAAUAUGAAACUGCGAAAAAUACUAUGUGUUAUUUACUAUGACACUAUGGGAUUAGAUUUUUAAAAUAUGAUACGGAAUUUAUAGACGAGUGGCGCUAGUUUCGCUGCACUAGUCGUCUUAAUGACUUAAUGUAUCAUAUGACAACCAUACUAGUAGUAUUAUAAAUGCGGAAUUUAUCAUUACGUAGUGUAAAUAAGUUGAAAUUUCUUGUGAGCAAAACCAAAACAAUAAUUACAGAACUAACUUAAAACCUCAUUUAGUCAAGCCCACAUUCCUAUAAAACUAUUCAAACCAUUAGGACUUAAAAAUAAGUUCAAAAGGUUUUGCACACCUUCAUUAGAAAUGUCACUUACCUUCCAUUUUCAAAAAUACACUUGUUAUGCCACUUAUAAUCACUUGAAACAACGUUUCUGUAUGUUCGCGUUAGAUUUCGAAUGUCAACUAAAAGUAUGUAAGCCUAAAACAUGUAAAAACUGGUUGAAAUACUGUAUUCUUUUCCACAUGGCUGAAGACACAGGAGGCGUGUCAUGUAAUCGUAUGGCGCUUGACCCGGCAGCCGUGUCACAUAGUUUUUGUUGAACGCCAUUAGUAAAAGUUUGCAAAAUUAGGCAUCGCAAUGAAUCGGUUAAAAAUAAAGAUUUUUAGUAACGUGGGCGGACGCAACAGCGACGAUAACUAUUUGGCAACAAAAGUACUUGCGCAAACUAAUGUCAAUGGUAAAAUUAUAUAAUUUUGGGUAUGGAACAAUGGUAAUGGAACAAAUUAAGCCUUAUUCACUUUUAGUAAUUGAAACCAGGGCUUGAAUUACCGUUAAAAAUGCUAUCGUUAUUAAUGUCAAACAGGGUUACCGUAAUAAAUUCAGUACUCUUAAAACGUUACCAGUAAAAUUAACGGUAAGAGGUAUCGUUAAGACUGUUUAACGUUAAUAAGAACGCAAGAGACGCGCACGUGGAUCUUAUUGGUAUUGUCAUUUAUAACGUUAAUUGGAAACGAUAUAUAACGUAAUUUAAUAUCGUUAUAUAACGUUUUAAUAUUACAUUACCGAUAUCACGACUUCAUCGGUUUCAGUCUUAACUUUUUGAAAAUAACCUUAAUUACCGUUACUUUUAGUGGUUUUGUUAACAAGCCCUGCUUGAAACAUUUACUCCGACAAUCAGGGGUCCAAUGAUAAGCGUGAUUACUUGAAAUAGGUUUAUCUACUUCGUACUUUUCAAAUUCCCGUAGAGACGUAAUUUACGUAGUGAGUAAUUGAAAGCGGAAGUUACGAUGUCAGACACAUUUCAAUGUAUUCCUACGCUUUCUGUCAUAACAUAGACAGUGUGUAAGACAAGGCUUAAGCCGGCUUUGUUUUUAUGAAAGUAAUUUUUUUCAUACCAACGUUCUAUUUUCAUUCAGAAGUAAUACUGUGUUUGAAGUACUAUUUGUACUUAUCAGUGAUUCAUGAAUAUUUUCAUUCAUAAAGAAAUGAAGCGUGAUGUCACCUUCUUGGCAGAUAAUUGUGUUAUGUGUUAAACACCAAUAACUGCGCACUUACAAAAUAUUCAUUAUGUGUAGAUGUUGUUUAAUUUAGGUUAUCAUCUUAUUUCUUGAAUUGAUUAGUAGUCGUUUCGUUAGAAAACACAGUUACAAAAAGAUGCUUAGAAUAUGACUUCACGUGAACGGCGAUACAAAUAAUUUAUUAAUGAAUAAACUUCAUUCUAAAUAAUAAAAUUAAAAUAUGCGGCCGAUUUUAUGAGCUUAUUAUUUUAGAAAAAAAAACUGAUAGAUCAAAAAAGGUUUACUUAGCCAAAUACAUGAUGAAGUAAAGGUAGUUACCAUACCUUGAAUAGGUCUUCUAUUAUCACAUUAAAAUCAAAAUACUUGUAGGCUCUGGCCAAUUCCAUUGAGACAUUCCUGGAACGAACAGAACCAAUAUCGAUCAUGAUCGAAGCUGUAUUACAGUAUGUAUUGACGGAUUGAUUUCUUUAUGGCAUGUAUUCAUUUGGUAAAUAGUGUAGCUUAGCUGUGAUUAGUACUGUACAUUCUAUAAACUAGUAAUUUUUUCAGAAUGAUUUAGAUUUACAGAAACGUGUGGGUAGUCAAAUUUUGAGAGGAUGUCUUAGUCAAAGCGUGGCCGUAUGUUUAAAAAAAAUAAAGAAAGCAGAUCUACUUGGUUUCAUUUAAAAUUGUUCACACAUCCAGAUACCAGUUUGUAUUAAUGUAUUUAUAUUUAAAAAGAACUCAAGACAUUAUAUGUACCUACAGCUUUAUAAUGUAUGAAACUGUAUGAAUUAGUUUAACUGUAACGGAAAAAGACUUGAGCGACAUCUUUUACUUAACCUAGGCCGGGUCUAGGUCAAGUGUCGAUUUUGAUAGUGGGAGCUGUACAACUUAAACUUAUUAUUACAUUAAUAAAUAAAUAUUAAACCAUUGAGUCAUCGAUGAAUAAUCAAUUGUCUAUUGGAUUGGAAGUUGUUUACCAGUGACUUAUUAUAUUAAACAGACAUCCCUUAUUUUGAAUAUAGAAGUAAUAAAUAGUGUUGGUAAAAAUAAUACUUAUUACUUCUAUGAUUUGGCUAGGUUAUAAUAAUUAUUUGUCAAAAGUUUCUUGACUUUUAAAUACUUGUCUUUAUAAUUAUUCUUCUGGAUCUCGCAAUUUAUUAUAAUAGAACAGUAAUUUUGUGAUUUUAAUUUUCUAGAAUAAUUUGUACAUAACUAUUACAAUACAUAUCUUGUUUUUAUUAUUAAAAGAUGACCUACUUUUAAGACAUUACUUACUAUCUAUAGCUGCAACUAAUUUUCUUGUGAUCAUUUUGUAACGAGAGAAUUAAUUUUCAAACUAAAAAGAAAAAUGAUUAUCGUAUUGUAUACAAUUUAUAUUAUAUAACUGAACAACUAUGUACUUAACUGAUUAUUUCCCUAAAAAAAAAUAAACUUUGCCAAUAAUUGACCAAAUUGAGGUGUUUCUCUGAAAUUCGGUAUGCCGAUAGUCACAUUAUGAGUUAUAAAUUCGAAUAUUAACAUAUACAAAUAGGUUUGAAUUAGUUAUGUUUCAUGUAGUCAUGUUAUUUCACAUGCUCUUAUUUUAUGAAAAGUACUAAAAAGUAGGUACUUAUGAUACGAAAUCAUUUUUCUUUUUAAAAUAUUAUCUCAAUAUUGGUGCACUUAUUUAUAUAUUUUGUAUCUAUUAUUAUUAUUUUAUCAAAUGUAAACUGUUUAAAUCAUUAUGUACACAAUGUUAUCAAAAUAAAUUAAGGAAAUGGAACAGAAUCGCUGAACAAUUAGAAUGUUGUUAAGAAAAUUCGUAACUCCAGUAUGUUAUGUAAGAAAUGCUAGUAUGUAUUUACGAAUUUGUAUCGUUUUAUAUCUAGUUUGACGUCAAACGAAAAAUUAAAAUAAUUAAAAAUUA